GACGAACGCUGGCGGCGUGCUUAACACAUGCGAGUCGAACGGUAAGGCCUUUCGGGGUCCCCGAGUGGCGAACGGGUGAGUAACACGUGGGUGAUCUGCCCUGCACUUCGGGAUAAGCCCGGGAAACUGGGUCUAAUACCGGAUAGGACUGCGCGGUGCAUGCCGUGUGGUGGAAAGAUUUAUCGGUGCAGGAUGGGCCCGCGGCCUAUCAGCUUGUUGGUGGGGUAAUGGCCUACCAAGGCGACGACGGGUAGCCGGCCUGAGAGGGCGACCGGCCACACUGGGACUGAGACACGGCCCAGACUCCUACGGGAGGCAGCAGUGGGGAAUAUUGCACAAUGGGCGCAAGCCUGAUGCAGCGACGCCGCGUGAGGGAUGACGGCCUUCGGGUUGUAAACCUCUUUCAGCAGGGACGAAGCGUGAGUGACGGUACCUGCAGAAGAAGCACCGGCCAACUACGUG
rnacentral:rRNA from 1 species